rnacentral:tRNA from 2 species
GCCCAGGUAGCUCAGCUGGUAGAGCAGUGGACUGAAAAUCCGCGUGUCGGUGGUUCGAAUCCGCCCCUGGGCACCA